UCAACCUGACAAGUGGUGCUACAGACCGACGGAGGUUUUGACUGGAAGCGUCGUCGUCGGGGCUCCGCUGCCUUCCAUUCAGUGCUCGUCUGUCUCCGCCGCUGGGACUCUGAAUCCAGCCGUCCCCCCCCCCCUUCUCCCCUGGGGUCUCCACAUGUAGCAUUCCCCCUUAAAGCUGUGGUUUUCCCACUGAAGACCCCAAAGCAUGCUGGAUGAUGUUGUCGCACACAUCCUUAGGGUAAAUGUCCCCAGGUUGCCAGGUUAGGUGAGCUCCAGGAUCAUGGGCACCACAGUGGUCACCCUUGAGGACGUGCGGGCACUGGAGGUCAAGGAGGAGCAGGAGGAGUCCAUCUUGGCCAUGUUGGGUAUCAUCGGCACGUUCCUCAACCUCUUUGUAAUAGUUUUUGUUUACAUCUACACGACACUGUAAAAGGUCUUAAAGCCGAGACUUUAAAAGGAUUUCUUCAAAGCCUGCUAUCAGAUCUGUCAAACGAGGUCAGGUGGGUUCUUCUGAGAGCGACACGGAGCCCACACCUGACAUGAACAGCUUCCCCAGAGGGAGGAGGAGGAGGACACUGGGCAGACUGAACCAGGAUGAAGGUGAAGAAGAAGCCAUAUUGCAAAGUCACAGCCAUGAGCCUGGGAGAUAACGAAGGGCCGGGGGCAGGAGCGAGGCCGAACGGAACCACAUGGGCUCCGGUCCUAAGACCUGGGACAGGACGUCACCAUGAUUCCUCCACUUGAUCUCAUUUGUCUUUGGACUCAUUGGGGGGAGAGAAGAAAAUGAGCCACAUAAGACAGAAGCUUUUUCCAUUUAUUUGUACUAACUUUUUGUUGUAAUUGCUACUUUGCGUGGACGCGCUUUUAAGCAACAUGAUUAAGAGCAGGGCCUGCGGGAGAACUUUGCAGCUCUGGGGCUAUUCCGGAGGAACUGCUAGAAUGCUCAUUCGUAGUCUUCAGUGGACGAGCCGUGCUGCUGUACCGUCAUCUGCCGAGGCAUAAACUCCCUCCACAUAAUACUAAGCAUUAAUAAUAAAGUACACUUGUGUUUCAGAGCGUACGACUUUAACAUCAUGUUGAAGUUGCAUUUUUAAAGACGCCUUCAAAAUGUGGAUAUUCCAAAAAACGGGGGAUAUUUUUCUAUCCUGCAGUUAAGUACCUAAUCAAAGAGGUCAACUCGCAUAAUUAAACAACGAAGCUAAAUCUGUCUCUAAAACUUUCUCCACUUUCUGUGUCUAUUUGCACAUUUUGAGGUUUCGAAGGGGAGUUUUUUUUUUUUUUUUUUUUAACAUUGCAAGAUUUUCUGGCUUUGUUUAUUCAGUUUAUUUGUUGAUGUUGAUUUCUGGAUAGUGUCAGCGGUUCUUUUCCUGUAUCAAAAACAGCUUUUUAUAAAGUAUUUGAAUAGAUGUACUGUGCGAUAGGGCAUAUUUGAACAAUAAACAUCAGAGCUUAUCAAA